UUUAAACAUGAUAGUAAUUCAAUAAUAAUAAUAAUAAUAAUAAUAAUAAUAGGUAAUAUCAAAUAAUAAUAAAUAAUAAUACAUAUGUAUUGUAAAUGCCAAACUUUCGCCUUACAUUUCGACCUUACGUUAUACAGUAGGCCAGUAGGGUCUCGAUAAUCCGAACACAGGCUAAUCCGAAAGACGCGGUAAUCCAAACGGGCUUGAGAAUUAUCUUAUCUUAUUGAAUAUGUACAUAAUAUGUAUUUAUAAAUAGUAUUUUCCGAUAAUAAAAUAUUUCGAUUAUGUUCAUUAUGAUUAUUAAUAUUUUUAUAUAUUCAUUGCCUUUUGAAAUUACGAAAAAUUCGUUGCAAUGACAACACUAUUUGUUUAUUUCUAAUAUUUAAAACACUCAACAUAAAUUUGUACACUGAAAUGCAUUAAAAAAAAUUCGUAGGACUAAUUAUUAGAGAAUUAAUUUCAAGAUACACCGUGAAGGCUGUGACGGAAGUCACCGCAGAAGAUUAUUGGUGGCAUGCUCAAACGCUCCGUGGCCAUCGUGGCGGAUUCGCUAAGACAGUCCGAGAAGUAUUUGAUGUGCUAUUCAGAUCUCCGCCGAAAUCUCUAGAAAUAUUAGAUAUUGUAGGAGCAUGGAUCCGUGAGCCACAGACACAUAUCAAUGUAAUGUUCCCUAACACUGGUCAAUCAAGGGAUAGACAAUUUAGGUUCUUUUAGAGCGAUUUCGAUGAAUAUGUUAUUAAACGAGACAGGUGGUACAAUCCAAUCGACGAUUAUACCUUUAAACCGUCAAGUCAAACACUGGGCGAUAUUGAUGAUGUCCAUAAAACAUAUGAUUACCCAACAUUUCCAACUCCAAAUGAACGUCCACCAUGUGUCCAUGUUUACCACCCCGCAAAAGAGCAGUUUGUGAAGACUAUGUUGAACUUUCACCCCCGCGACGAGCCUACAAGAAGGUGAAGAACCGACAUUAUAUGAUGCAUAUACUAGAAGUGAAAUUCACGAAGUUGAGAUGACAGAUUCGGCAACUGCAACAGACAUUAAAAUUGUCAAGACGACAGAAUCAGCGGCUGUCACUGAUGAUCAUUAAGUCGAAGAAAAUGGGUAUAAAAUUAUGAUGGAGCAAAGAAUAAAAUCUUUAGAAGAUUUAGUUUGAGUUUAUAUUGAGUACAUAUUAUUUUUUAAUGUAAAAUAUAUUCAUAUUAGGUACACUUGCUUUACUGAGAACUGAAAUGGAGGACAUGACAAGAAACCGUUCUAAGACUCGGAUCUUAAUCAGAGUGAAUCAAGACCAACCGACCACGCAUUGCCACAUAAUCGUCAAAUGCACCUCCAGCAUCGCCAUCGGUCCACUAUAAUUAUAUCGAUGCCACCACCAACACUGGUAAACACUAUCCGCCGAUGCCAACGCCAACACCAGUACACUCGGUACCUAUGCCACCACCUCCACCUCCAACACCAUCUGUAACCACAGGUUUUGGGUUACCACCGCCACCUCCAUCGCUCCCGAUGAUGAGGUCUGACACACCUGGGUUUCGAAUUGAGAGGCAGGAGAUAUUAAAUAUUAGAUAUUAGACACCUUUCUGGUGUCCGGGCCAAAUAAAAAGGCUCCCUUACUUACAGUCGGAUACCUAUAACGACCGAACUAUUAUUAAGUCCGUCGUUCUAAGCCGCCAGGUCAGAGAAAAAGUUACUUUUUGAUUAAAAACUUUCAUGGAAAGAUCAUAUAUAUUAUUUUUGUAAUUUUCCAGAGAGCAAAAAUGUAUUUUAUUGAAAUUUUUAAAAUAUUAUUUUUAUGAUUAAAUGAAUUUAUAGUAUUUUAUAAUAUUAAAAAAAUAUCUAUCAAAUAUCAGUUUGCCACUGGAUUAUCAUUCAUGUUCUUUUAAAAAUUAUGGUAUGCAGGUAUUACCCCCACAUACGAUGAGGAGCAAUGUCAAACAUUAUGUACAAAAGAAAGCCAACCAGAUAAUGUAUAGCCUGCAAGACUUUUGGAAGAACCACAACUAACCAGAACAUAUCAACACCCCAUUGUUUACCGGAGAGGGUGUCAAUGCAAAAACUGGAGGUAAACCAUUUCUAGCAGCAGUAAUAAAAAGAUGGAAGUCGACGAUAUAUACGUACAAUUUCCGUACGGCAGAUGUCACAUUUAUGAAUACCUACAAAUAUCAUAACAGUCAAAUAUAGUACCAUUUACAACACAAUUCCCGAAUGGAAAAUUCAAACCUAUAAAAAAAAAUGCUCAAGACCGACAGAAACGACAAAUUAGGAAUCAUAAAAAAGCCUCAUACAAUAUUUAAAUAAUUAAUUUUUUAGUAUUUUAAAUAAUUGAAUAAUUAAUGUAAUGAACGUAAAAAUCCUACUGUACACAUUUAGAAGUAAGAGUUUUAAGGGCCACCCUUGCCUUAACUGGCCGGGGUCGGCGAGUUGGAGGUAGCUUACUAGCGCCAGCAAAACCCUAGUGAAAGGAAAACCACGAUAAAAAAUUCUGAGCUGGCAUUUUCUCUGAAUAGGUGAUAAGAGAGAGAGCCGAUAAGGUCAGAGGCAGCCUGCUCCCGCUUGAGCAAAUGCCCUAAGGGAAGGACAACCCGGAAAAACCCUCAACCCCAAAACUCGUGAAGGGGGAGUACUUGGCACAGAGGUCAGUUUGUGUCCACCUGGCACCCCCCACAGUAUUUGCCUUCACUGCGGUACGCUGCACUGCCCCUGUGCGACUUUUUAUUUCAUGCCAACUCGUGAGAACAAUAUGGAAAAAAAUGACCGGCUUGAGAAAUUGGAAAAGAGAAACGAAUCGGAAACUGGAAACAUUGGAGAGAACGGAAAACGGAACUAGAACACUGCCCACGAAGCAGGAUCAAAUGUUUUUAUUGAAAAAGUACAUUUUUCUUGUAGUUACGAUAUACAGUAUAUUAUGUAACGUAAAUGGUCUUUGAUUAUGUUUUAUAUAUUUUUUUUAAAUUAUGUUUGAAAGUCGAAGAAACUAUUCAUAAAAAUCAAUCUGAACUUAUUUAAGGCUACCACUCGGCCGUACCUGGCAACAAACGAAACAGAUCAACCGGAGAUGAACAUGCUAGUAGUAAAUUGUCACGAUCACCAAGAGCCGCCCUCGACAAACGAAAGCGGUCUCUUGAUGAAGAUGAGGCCAUACUAAAAAAUAGCACACCUCAAAACAUGUCAGAAUAUAUAAUCUAUUUAUUAGAGAAGAUUAGCAUGACGCAGAUAAUGAGAAGUAGUACUCAGAUAUUGAGAUCGGUGCACACUUGCCAAACACACACUGCUGCAAAAUCUAGGCACUUGAAAGAAUAGGUAUAAAAUAUUUUUGCGGUCAUCUGAAAUGGAUUCGGGAACCGUAAAAUCGAUCAUAAAAGUGGUCCGGCACUAAAAAUCGUUUCCAAAAGCCGUGCCCAAAAUCGAAAAGAAUAUAGAUGGGCGGCAGUGCCGCCGUUAACAAUUGUCUAGACAGCGAGACAGCGAGAACGGAAGAAAUGCAGCGGAUGUAGACACUCCGGCGGUGCUAGUGGAUUAAUAAAUAGAUAAAUAAACAUUGACAACACGAUUUGGCAGUGCGUGAAGACGCCGAUGGAGGCCAACGAGGAAGAGGAGGGUAAAAAAAACGAGGCAGGGGCGUUAGACGUCCACUCAAGACGUUCCAGGUUUGACUUCAAUAUUUUGUUGUGUACGACUGGACCGGUGACAACAUGUAAUUCAUCAGGGGCAACAACGAGAGCCUACCUAUCGAUCAGAGCUGGAGAGUAUUUUUCAUGCAAAUAACUAUAAACUAUUUUCCAUAUAUUAUUAUUAUUAAACUUAUUAAAAUAUUUAAUAUAUUUAUA